rnacentral:rRNA from 1 species
UGAUUGGACGUGCUUGCACGGACUUGACGUUGGUUUACCAGCGAGUGGCGGACGGGUGAGUAACACGUAGGUAACCUGCCCCAAAGCGGGGGAUAACAUUUGGAAACAGAUGCUAAUACCGCAUAACAAUUUGAAUCGCAUGAUCCAAAUUUAAAAGAUGGUUUCGGCUAUCACUUUGGGAUGGACCUGCGGCGCAUUAGCUUGUUGGUAGGGUAACGGCCUACCAAGGCUGUGAUGCGUAGCCGAGUUGAGAGACUGAUCGGCCACAAUGGAACUGAGACACGGUCCAUACUCCUACGGGAGGCAGCAGUAGGGAAUCUUCCACAAUGGGCGCAAGCCUGAUGGAGCAACACCGCGUGAGUGAAGAAGGGUUUCGGCUCGUAAAGCUCUGUUGUUAGAGAAGAACGUGCGUGAGAGCAACUGUUCACGCAGUGACGGUAUCUAACCAGAAAGUCACGGCUAACUACGUGCCAGCAGCCGCGGUAAUACGUAGGUGGCAAGCGUUAUCCGGAUUUAUUGGGCGUAAAGCGAGCGCAGGCGGUUUGAUAAGUCUGAUGUGAAAGCCUUUGGCUUAACCAAAGAAGUGCAUCGGAAACUGUCAGACUUGAGUGCAGAAGAGGACAGUGGAACUCCAUGUGUAGCGGUGGAAUGCGUAGAUAUAUGGAAGAACACCAGUGGCGAAGGCGGCUGUCUGGUCUGCAACUGACGCUGAGGCUCGAAAGCAU